AUGUUUCUAGUUAGAAGGCCAUCUAAUCUGGCCCUCUGUUAUGAAGCGGGGCAUUUCAUGCAGCCACCUAGAGAGCAAAUUAAACUACAUCCAUCCCAGAGUGCAACAACUGAGAACAGAUGUACUGCCAAAGGUCUGUCUUCAGUAAGCGACUUGGGAACAUACUGGAAGCCGCUUUGGUGUGAGAGAAUUGGCCGUCUACAGAGAUAUUGCCCAGGGGAUGCCUGAUGUGUUACCAUCAUGUUGGGAAGCUUCUCCCAUGUCCCUGCAAGCUAGAGCUGACAGACAGGAGCUCACCCCUCUUGCAGAUUCGAACUGGCAACCUUCAGGUCAGCAACUGUUGAGGAAGAAGUAGGAAGUGGGAUGAAGAAAUUAAUUGGAACAUUUUAAAAGCAGUUAAGAAAACGGGAUGGGCCGUGGGUUUACUGGGGCAAUCUCUGCCAAACAAUCCCAAUGCGAUUGGGAUUCUGCCAUUAAUUAAAUAUUAGCUGUGAAAUACCAGAAAGUUAUUAAAAGGUGACUUGACCAUAAAUAUCCAAGGAAGAAGAAAAAGUAUUGUACAGGAUGCUCAAAGCUUCUGAAAAAAUCUUCUGCAACAUGAUGCCUUCUAGAUGCAUUGGAGAACAAGACCCAUCAUUUCUAGCUAGUAUGACCUCAGCUGGCAAGAGAAUGAUAAGAGUUAAUCCAACACAUCUGGAUAAAUAGUUGCCACCAGGUAUCAGGAAUGGCGCACUAGCAUUUUGUAACAUGAAAUGGAAAGAAAAUACUGUGUUUAUUUGAUGGUAACUUCUCUUGAGAAUCAUGUGGGUUUAGCCUUCUCCAGUAUCCAUAUUUUGAUUCCCCCCCCUUUGAAUAUUGGCUGGCUGCAGCCUGAAUAGUUUAUGGGGAAGGUACUUGGAACAAUUUAGGCUUAUGCGUCAGUGCAGAGAACAAUUGAUAUUGAAUUUAGCAAGCUAAUUCGCAUUUCUAUUCUAGUAUAUCACAUCUUACAUAUUAUUAGCACCAUAAUCUUAUUUGGGGCCUUCACUGAAGCUCAUAAAAAUCAAUGAAAAGACAAGCAGCACUUUAGAAAACAGGAAUCAAUCAGGUACUUAAGUACUUGACUACAAGCAUAGAAAUGGUUACUUAAACAAGCAAGAUACAGUCUCAUGAAAAAGGUGCACUCUUUAUAACUUUCCCAAGAAUCGGACUGGGUACUGA
rnacentral:lncRNA from 1 species